rnacentral:rRNA from 1 species
AGAUCAUUAAAGAGUAAGGGUGCUCAGCGCCCGACCUCCAACCCUUUGUUGUUAAAACUACCUUGUUGCUUUGGCGGGACCGCUCGGUCUCGAGCCGCUGGGGAUUCGUCCCAGGCGAGCGCCCGCCAGAGUUAAACCAAACUCUUGUUAUUAAACCGGUCGUCUGAGUUAAAAUUUUGAAUAAAUCAAAACUUUCAACAACGGAUCUCUUGGUUCUCGCAUCGAUGAAGAACGCAGCGAAAUGCGAUAAGUAAUGUGAAUUGCAGAAUUCAGUGAAUCAUCGAAUCUUUGAACGCACAUUGCGCCCCUUGGUAUUCCGAGGGGCAUGCCUGUUCGAGCGUCAUUACACCACUCAAGCUAUGCUUGGUAUUGGGUGCCGUCCUUAGUUGGGCGCGCCUUAAAGACCUCGGCGAGGCCUCACCGGCUUUAGGCGUAGUAGAAUUUAUUCGAACGUCUGUCAAAGGAGAGGACUUCUGCCGACUGAAACCUUUUAUUUUUCUAGGUUGACCUCGGAUCAGGUAGGGAUACCCGCUGAACUUAAGCAUAUCAAUAGCGGAGGAA